rnacentral:rRNA from 1 species
GCCUACGGGGGGCAGCAGUGGGGAAUAUUGCACAAUGGGGGAAACCCUGAUGCAGCAACGCCGCGUGAGUGAAGAAGUCAUUCGUGAUGUAAAGCUCUAUCAGCAGGGAAGAAAAUGACGGUACCUGAGUAAGAAGCCCCGGCUAACUACGUGCCAGCAGCCGCGGUAAUACGUAGGUGGCAAGCGUUAUCCGGAUUUACUGGGUGUAAAGGGCGUGUAGGCGGGACUGCAAGUCGGAUGUGAAACCCAUGGGCUCAACCCAUGGCCUGCAUUUGAAAUUGUAGUUCUUGAGUGAUGGAGAGGCG